rnacentral:misc_RNA from 1 species
GAUGAAGAACGUAGCGAAAUGCGAUAAGUAAUGUGAAUUGCAGAAUUCAGUGAAUCAUCGAAUCUUUGAACGCACAUUGCGCCCGCCAGUAUUCUGGCGGGCAUGCCUGUCUGAGCGUCAUUUCAACCCUCAUGCCCCUAGGGCGUGGUGUUGGGGAUCGGCCAAAGCCCGCGAGGGACGGCCGGCCCCUAAAUCUAGUGGCGGACCCGUCGUGGCCUCCUCUGCGAAGUAGUGAUAUUCCGCAUCGGAGAGCGAUGAGCCCCUGCCGUUAAACCCCCAACUUUCCAAGGUUGACCUCAGAUCAGGUAGGAAUUCCCGCUGAACUUAAGCAUAUCAAUAAGCGGAGGA